ACACUGUUAGAUGUCGCUGUAGAUUUAGCAGUACUUUACUGUAAAAAUCCACAGUACUAUACUGUAUGUGUACAUUACAGUACAGUACUGCAGUUCAUAAUGCAUUCUGGGUAAAUUUGUUUGAGCGGGAAAAUUUUACAGUAUAUUUUGGUCUUGAUGUAACCUUGCUGUAGCCAUUGCUGUAAUGUGCCAGGUGUACUUGCAAUAAUCAGAGAAAGUGCGCCAGAGUCAAAUCACACAGACAGCACAACUCCUGGCUGCAGCUGAAGGAGGACGAUUGAUUUCUGGCAGUUCGUCUUACCAUUGCUUGUAAGCUGGAUUGGGUAAGAUGGAUCAUCUUUAAAGGCACCAGGAGUUAAGGCAGAUGUGGAGGCACAACGUGUGAUACCAGACACACACCAAGCACAUUAUGUUCGGACAUUCAAUCAUGACAGGAUCCAGGUGGAUGCUGUCCAUUGAGAAAAGAGUUUGUUCAGCGGUUUCUGGAUAGAAUUAAUUCCAAAGAUGGGAAAAAGUGCACAUCCAGACAAGGAGCAAGCAAAAAGACAAGGAACUUGGUGCAGAGAAAAGCUGUGGCCAUUAACCCCUGUGAACAGCUUCAUGCAGUCCCUGAUUGAGUUUGAAUGGACGACUUCAAAGUAAAGGCCACUGUGGUCUGUCUGCCACAGUUUAAUUUUUAAUUUAUUUUUAGUGUUAAAUGAAAUUCAAGUAGAAUAUUUAAAACUAUGGGCCAGUGUUGUUUUUACCACAGUGAAAUGUUACCUUUUAGUCGAUGAUGGACUUUAAACUGAAAACUUCAAACUAUGGAACAGUGUUCUAUUUGCCAGAGUUAAAUAUGUUACAGCAGGGGUCUCCAAACUUGUUUAUACUUGUUGAUUUUAUUUUAUGUUACUUGAUUAUAUGUUUAUUAUUGUUUAAAAUCUUGUUUUAAAUAUGUUUGUUUCAAUUAAAUGUUUUUUUAAAUAAAAUUUUGAUACAAACAUUGCUUGGAUUGCCUUUUAAUUCAUUAUGUUUUAAUUAAGCAUUUUUACCAUAUUAAUAACUAUAGAUUUAAACCUAAAUCUCUAGCUAUUUUAUAUAAUAUUAUUGUAUUAAUUGUAAUAAGUAAUAAAUAGUAUUUAUGGGUCAAUAUAGACAUUACAGUAAAUUACUGUAAAAAUAGACUACUGUAAUAAAAUAUU